ACCAAAUAGAGCAGAAAAAAACACAUUACUAACUCAGAAGUGCAGAAGGCCUAGAAGUUUGCAUUGGUACCUGCAUUAGGAUGAGAGAGUGAAUCAGAGAGCAGAAAUUAAUGGCGGGUUUGGAUCUAGCUUUCACAAAGCUGCUUGUACCUAUUACUCAGUAACAACCUGCCUGCCUGAAAUUCAUUGGCAAUAUGGGGCAGCAUAUGUUUGAAAUAGAAAGCCUUUAGCCUUGGCACAAUUUCUGCACAGAAAUUUGCAUCAUAAGCAACACUGAGCAAGACUUGCUGGGAUAUGGUCCAGAUGAGCAACUUCGUCAGCCCUGUGCAGAACAUGCCCAGCUGCACCUGCAUGUAAGAGCCACGUGGCCCAUGUGGUUGGAAUUGAGAUGCCCCCUCCACCAUCUUCACAUCUGAGGUCUUGCUGCUGAAGAGGUCUUCCAGAGACUCAAAGGAUUUUCCCAAGACUGGACAUUUGAUCUCUAACAGUUCCACAGUGUUCAGCACUCCAUCAGGGCUUGUUAACAACCAUGGCUCUUCUGCGCUGACCACAGUGCCUCUGUGACUGACAGAGUAGCUGCAGCCUUCAAGCCACUGGGAAGCUACCAGCUCACUCUCCUUCCCAUAGCGUGUAGCUGCAUUCCCAUGGAACCUUGGGUAAAGAUGCUCUUGGAGGAACUUCUCAGGACUGGCUCUAACUUGAACCCUCUUGGCAGAGCUGGCAGUGAUGCAAAUUUACAAGCAUCAUGCCACAUGUGUGAGGCACUCUGCUCCUUGGUGAUGUGCUCCAGUGUUGUAGACUUGGUCAGGUCAAGUGCAACGAAGGUACUGUAAAAUAACAGACACUUCUGGCAGGUGGUGAGAACAUCAUGCUCACCACGUGGAAGGGAAUCUGGCUGGGAUGGCUCUUCUCUGAGCUGAGCGUUACAACAUCAGUAAAUCAGGCUUCCUAUAGGCAGCUUUAGGCGGCUCAGGCUCUCCCUCAACUUCUCAUGGGAAUGAAAUAAAGGGGGCAAGGUUCCUCUGGGUUCACGUUGUACCAGUGAGCCCCUGGGACACAGCAUUCUGGACCUGAGACAGAGGCAACUACAGUUAGAAUAAAAUUAAGACAUUUAUUUCAAGCAACAAUAGAGUGGUUGGAUCAAUAUACAGCAGUUCUAAAUCUUUCAGAUUAAAAAAGGCAGACAUCUGAAUAUCCUAAUAAUAGACUUACUUUGGAUCGAAGUGAUAUGAUUAGACUUAUACUUACUGUGACAUCUCCAGCCUUAUUCUGUAUGGCUGGAAAAAUGGACCCCAAACCUGUGCAACUGAUUAGGCUACUAUCAUUUAGAAAGUGACAACUCAAGAGAUAUUACUGAAUAUUACAGAUUAUCCGAAGUCCAAGAACUGAAAUUACACCUUUUAUCAUGUAAGAUUUAGUAAAUCUUAAUUCAUCCUUAAUAACUGUGUUGCAGGUGGAAAAAGAGUUGCAUGAAACAUGUCAGACUCCAUGCACAAAGACUGCAUUGCAGUACAUCACAUUUAAUAGUUGCUUGCUGAGUGUUCGGCUUCAGCUUACUGAGCAAUUACUAAACAUGGUGUAUUACAAUGCAGUCUUUGUGCAUGGAGUCAUUUCAUACUGGAUAUAUCAUGUUUUGAUGUAGGGAAGAUCUGACAUAGCUCACUCCAUACUAUGCACUUACCUGCCUCCUCUGCCAAUAUGAGAUUUGACUAGAUAUUUACAGAUUCUCCAUGAUUCUCAUUCUCGCAGCUCUGUGAUACACAAAUAGCAUGUUAGCAGUACCCACAUUACAAGUUUUAUUUUAUUCUAUUGCUUAAUAUGAACAUGUUUUUUUAGUACAAAAGAUAUAAAUUGUACAUUAUCACAGUUUCAGUGUUGUAAGAUGCUAUUUAAAUUGAAGUAGCUGCAAACAAUUCAUAAGAUACAUCACAUUGGUCAAUAGUCUUCCUGUAAUAUUCUAUUUUCUGGUCAGACAAGACAACGAAAAACGCUUAUAAUAGCUUUUUAACCUAAUUUAACCACAUAAUUAUAUAUUAUGAAAGAUUAUCAGUUAAUUAACUUGAGUUUAUACUUUCAAAUAGAGCACUAUGCCCUUGAUUGUCAAGGUGUAUGCUUGACAAUCGUAGAUUUAAAAAAAAAUCCUACUUUCUGACCUUCCACAAAAUUGAAACUGUGUGGCUGCAUGACUUCCCCAGGCCAGCGAUGCAGGAGCACUCUGCUGUCUCUACUGCUCCCAGGUUUGUCACCAGUACCCAGGCCGAGUGCACUGGACUGCUGGACUGACUGGGCUGAACAUCAGCCUUCAGAAAUGUCAGAUCUUCUUUUAUUUGGUGGAGUAAAACCCGACACACUUUGCCACUGUGAUAGGCCUCAGUGCUCUUAUAAUUUUUCAUAGUGGCUCCAUCUACUCCAAGGGACAGCACAAAAUGAUUGAAUAUAUCCUCGUACGUUACUUCUGGCCACUUUCUCAAAUCAUCCUCCCAGUCACUAGUGGUGAUCCUGGGGUGUAAUACAUUUACAGCGUCCAACUGCCGCAGCAUAGAAAAAGUGUGCUCCCAUGCUUUGACCAUGUUAACUAUUUUACCGCAACCUAACUGCUUUUUGUUGUAAACAAAUUUUGUUCCAUACGCUACAAAUUAGCUUUAUUAUUUAUCACCAUUUACACUCUGUUUCUGCUGGCGUUUCAAAUGAAAGUCGCAACACAAUUGCGUUCGAACUGGGAGAGAAAAAAAUGGGCGGGGCUAAAUAAAGUGAAUAGCUUAAGAUAUUUUUCUAGCUUUUUUUGUAUCCUUGGGAUUAUGCAUAAAUGUCUUCACAUGUAUUCUACUUUAAUAUCAACAUACUUAUUUUAAAUCUCCUUUUGAUUUGCUAAAUCUAUGUACAUUUUCAGUCUACCUUUACAAAUAUUUUGUCUGCUAGAUUCCAAUAUGAAAAUUCACACAUUUUUAACACAUGCUUUGUAAAUUCAAAAGCCAGGUCCUUUUCCCCAUGCACAAAAGAAAUAUUUUCCAUUUAGCAGCAUUAAAUAGACUAAAGUUAAUACGGUCCUCUCCUUAUUGCUUAAGUUAAAUAGUAGCAAAUUUUCAACUUUUGUUUAAUACUGACAUAAAGUAUCCACAAUUUACAAUCAAUAAUCAUUUGUUUGAGAAACGUUAGAGUUGCUAAACAGCAAAUUUGUUUAGCCAGCACAUUUACUACAGCACAAAUCCCAAUACUAAGUGCAUGUGCUAGCAAAACAAUCACGCUUGCAAUUGUGUAACUUUGGUACAAUAUAGAGCAAAUCUAAUAUUUCUUAAAUUGGUAAUUGAUAUUCAAAGAUGCUCUGCUGUUUCAGCAGCCUUUUCUUUGAAUUUCAUCCAAAUUUGGUCUGAAAGUUAACUUGCAAUUUUGGGCAAGUGGCUGUAGGUUUAAGAUUCAAUUUUGAAUUGUUUAUUUCUUUCAGGAGGCCUGUGCCACAGAUGAUGCUCUAUCAGAAUCCAGUCAUGAUCUGUAAAGUGGAUAUCUCCCAUCAUCCUUGGAUUGCUCAGACGAUGAAAACCGUUUUCAGGGGUUUUAAUACAAAGUUAACGUUCAAGAAAAAAUCUAGGAAACUCAUCAAAGGAGAUGACACUUCACCUACCAAAAACUUUACUGAUGCUGACAAAGAACUCAGCAACACAGACAACAAUGGCAGGGACCUUGAUUACAGUGCUGACAGUACAGAUGAAGAUGAGGAGUGGGAGCUGUACUGGAGUCUCAAGUCAGUGAAAGUGAUGCAGAAGUCUUCAGUGAGAAGUCUUUGGAACCAGCUGAAGACAUAGAUGAAGAAGCAGACAUUUUGACUCAAAGGACCUCAACUGCACAACCACCAGACAAGCUCAAAAGGAUGGAGAAAACGAGUAACUCCUUCUGUCGGCUCAUUGUGUCCUUCUGCUCAUGUGUAGUAACAGGUGGUGGUCCUAUCCCACCUCUCGGUGUGGGAUACCGUGCAGAGGACGGAGCGAAACCGCAUCAGAGCUGGAACGCGCACACACGCGCCCAGUGGGAUACCAGCGUAAAGGUGAACCAUUAAUCACGACUCUGAAAUGAACUCAAGAGAAGCGGAAGUUGUGCUCUGUGGAUGACCGGUGCAACUCUCCAGGCCAAUUAGCCAAAUACUGCAAGUACACUUUUUUAGAUGUGCAGAGUCAAAAGGUUGUGGACUUCAAGGUAAUAAGCUGCAAACAAGUUUCAAGCCCUAAUACCAUGGAAAUCAAAGGUUUUAAGGAAGCUUUUGAAAUCAUAGAAGAAAAUGGAGUGAAGGUCUCCACCAUCUCCACUGAUAGACAUCCACAAAUUGUGAAAGAAGUGAGGGUCUUUAAUCCAGAAAAACAUCAUGAAUUUGAUCCCUGGCAUAUGUCAAAAAAACUGGCUGCUGCAGCUAAGAGGAGGGAAUGUGAAGGCCUGGGAGACUGGAUUCCAUCCAUUAUAUAUAUGUAUCAUUUGUAGUGGAGUGCACAAACCUGAGAGGGUAACACCGAGGUGUUGAAACAGAAGUGGGUAUCAGUAAUACACCAUGUUACCAACUGACACGAAUGGCCAGAGGACAGGCACUAUCACUGUUGUGCUCAUGAACCACUUGAUGAGACGAGACAGUGAAGCAAGCUUUGGUUGAGGCCAGGAUCUGAAGCCUACAAAGCUCUUGUGAACUUGUGAUGUACAGCAGCAAAAAAACAGACACGUUUCAGCCCUACGCUUUCCUCAGUGUUACGCUGUGCAUCAUUAAAGAAGUGAUAGGCUAUACACUUAUCUAUGAGUGCUAACGACUCCACUUGUUAUUUUUGUACCACUCCAUGUACAUCAACCUGGAGUGGAUGUACAUCAACACCGUCUGAAGACAGCACGUUUGGGAUAUGAUGUGAUGAUCCAUGCCUCCAUGCUUGCUGCUCUGGAUCAUAACAACAAUGUGAACCAGGAAAAGUUUUUGAACAGACUGUUUUUCAAGACGGGGAGAAUGUUGGUGAACCCAAGUUCAAAAUCUCAUGGAGCAAAGCCCACAAAACAUUCAGAACAAGAGCAGCGGCUGUUAAGAAGGACUAUAGCUACAUGAUGGCUUUGGUGGCAGAUGUUCUCUCCUCUGUGUCAGAUUCAAACCGGGGCAUGGACAUGUGACUGAACCCAACACAUGGCUCCACAAGAGAGACCAUCCAGAUCAAAGAUAAUUUUUCAAACACAGCAGUUUUCACAUUUCAAGUACUUGCAUCAUCACAAACACAUGAUGUGAACACCAACAUUGUUCAAAUCCACAUUAACUUUAAUUUUAAAUUCUAGUCAGGAGGUCAGUGUUUUCAAGGACACACAUCUACAUAUUUUUCAUAUCAGGGUACAUUUUGUAAAAAUAUUUUCAUUUAAACCAUUAACAAUUUUGUAUGGUACCCUAUUUUGUAGAGCUGUGCAUAACUCAUGCUCCUGAUGAAAUGCAUUGAAAUGUGAAUUAAACAGUUUAAAUAUCAUUAAAAUCUCUCCAUUCUUCAUCUACUUCUGCAUGAUCAGUAUCUAUAUCUUCAAACCCUGCAUAGAUUCCA